GGUAUAUCAGAUAGUGUAUCUAUGGGGUAACACGUUCAGGAAUCACCUAUAUAAGGGUAAAGUGUAAGCCACUUCAAAGAGAAUGUAGUAAGUCCAGUGCUCUAUGCACUUAUGAAACCAGCCUGUGUUCAUGACUAAAACUAACACAACAAUGAGAACCAAAAGAUAGAUAAGGAUUAAUUGUGUGACAUAUGUUGUCUUG
rnacentral:lncRNA from 1 species